UACAGAGGGGGCAAGCGUUGUUCGGAAUUACUGGGCGUAAAGGGCGCGUAGGCGGCCUUCUAAGUCGAACGUGAAAUCCCCGGGCUCAACCCGGGAACUGCGUCCGAUACUGGAAGGCUUGAAUCCGGGAGAGGGAUGCGGAAUUCCAGGUGUAGCGGUGAAAUGCAUAGAUAUGCCAUAGAACACCAAUUGCGAAGGCAGCUGGCUAGACCUGGAUUGACGCUGAGGCACGAAAGCGUGGGGAGCGAACAGG
rnacentral:rRNA from 1 species